AGAAUCAACGCUGGCGGCGUGCCUAACACAUGCAAGUCGAACGCGGUUACCCCGCAAGGGGUAACUGAGUGGCGAACGGGUGAGUAACACGUGGGUGACCUACCUUCGAAUGGGGGAUAACGUCCCGAAAGGGACGCUAAUACCGCAUAACAUCCUGCCUUUGAACAGGCGGAGAUCAAAGCCGGGGAUCGCAAGACCUGGCGUUUGAAGAGGGGCCCGCGUCCGAUUAGCUAGUUGGUGAAGUAACGGCUCACCAAGGCGACGAUCGGUA
rnacentral:rRNA from 1 species